CCUACGGGUGGCAGCAGUGAGGAAUAUUGGUCAAUGGACGCAAGCCUGACCCAGCAACGCCGCGUGAAGGAAGAAGGCUUUCGGGUUGUAAACUUCUUUUGUCAGGGAAGAGUAGAAGACGGUACCUGACGAAUAAGCCACGGCUAACUACGUGCCAGCAGCCGCGGUAAUACGUAGGUGGCAAGCGUUGUCCGGAUUUACUGGGUGUAAAGGGCGUGUAGCCGGGUUGACAAGUCAGAUGUGAAAUCCUGCGGCUUAACCGCAGAACUGCAUGUGAAACUGUUGAUCUUGAGUACUGGAGAGGCAGAUGGAAAUCCUAGUGUAGCGGUGAAAUGCGUAGAUAUUAGGAGGAACACCAGUGGCGAAGGCGGUCUGCUGGACAGCAACUGACGGUGAGGCGCGAAAGCGUGGGGAGCAAACAGGAUUAGAUACCCGAGUAGUC
rnacentral:rRNA from 1 species